UUAGUCAUCAUAUAAUAACUUAAACACUUACUAACUUAGAAUCUUUAGGAGUAUUACCAUAUCCUGAGUUCACACCAUCUACAAUUUCAAUCUCUUCUUUCUAUUAGCUUAAUCAUCCAUAAUUCAAACUUAGAUUCUAACACUUAACAUAGAUAUCCCAAAAUUUUUAAUGAACUAUACUAACUUAGUACUAAUGGAUAGGAAUCAUGAAACACUAAUCUACACAAAAUUUU
rnacentral:lncRNA from 1 species